rnacentral:misc_RNA from 1 species
UCCGACUUGAAGGUCGGCAGUCCCGUUAGAGUGCCCAACUUAAUGCUGGCAACUAACGGCAUGGGUUGCGCUCGUUGCGGGACUUAACCCAACAUCUCUCGACACGAGCUGACGACAGCCAUGCAACACCUAACUACAGGUUCCCCGAAGGGCUGCCGUGUUUCCACGACAUUCCCGUGCAUGUCAAGCCUUGGUAAGGUUCUUCGCGUCGCGUCGAAUUAAACAACAUGCUCCGCUGCUUGUGCGGGCCCCCGUCAAUUCCUUUGAGUUUUAGCCUUGCGGCCGUACUCCCCAGGCGGGGUGCUUAAUGCGUUAGCUUCGGCACGGGGGGAGUCGACACCCCCCACACCUAGCACCCAUCGUUUACAGCGUGGACUAC